CAAGCCAUAAGCGUUCAAUUGUGUGGGGUCAAUUCGCAAACAAACUUGGGAUUUUCUUGUAAUUUAUAAUUCGGAGUUUAUGCCAGUUAUGACAGAUCAGUGAUUGUGAACAAUCACUCCAAAAACUGCAUCGACUUUGUGGUCAGAUCAACUCAGGCCGACUACAUCAGUAUUGAGAAGAAAGAUGGGUGCUACUCUUCUCUUGGCAGAACUGGUGGCAAGCAGGUGGUCUCGUUCAACACAGCAUCGAUCAGCAUGAGCUCAGUGAUGCCCUGGGCUUCUACCAUGAGCAAACCAGGAGAAGUUGUGACCAGUACGUCAAGAUCAUCAAGAUCAUAAAUGCAACAUUUUCUCAUGAGAGCCAGAUUCAUAUUAAAGAGGACAAGAUUUUAUUAGUCAUCUUUUUCUCAUCGUUCAUUAUUUUAAAAAAUCCAAUUAAAUAACUAAAAGAAAAUAUAGAUUUUAAUUUUUUCGAUAAAAGCCUAAAUGUUGUUAUUUUAGGUUUCUGUUAUAGUUUCAAUGGUAGAUACCAGAUAGAUAUAGUAAGCACAAGUACAUUAUGUGUACAUUUUCAUUAUUAAACAUUGUGUUGGAGAGAAGUCGUCUUCCAUCACUGUUUUUAUUAUGUUCUUAUUGCUCUUAUGCAUUUUAUAAUAUUUACAUAGGGCUUGCUGGUUGAUGGCAGGGUCUUAAAGUAGCUUAAAUUAGAAGGGGAGCUCUAAUUUUAGCUAAAUUUAUGGAAAUGUUUGUGAAAAAUUAUGUAAAAUUAUUUUUUACACACUCACACCGAGAGUAUGGAAAAUGGA